rnacentral:rRNA from 1 species
UACGGAGGAUCCGAGCGUUAUCCGGAUUUAUUGGGUUUAAAGGGCGCGUAGGCGGCCUAUUAAGUCAGGGGUGAAAGACGGUAGCUUAACUAUCGCAGUGCCUUUGAUACUGAUAGGCUUGAAUGUACUUGAGGUAGGCGGAAUGUGACAAGUAGCGGUGAAAUGCAUAGAUAUGUCACAGAACACCAAUUGCGAAGGCAGCUUACUAAAGUAUGAUUGACGCUGAGGCACGAAAGCGUGGGGAUCAAACAGG